UCCGAGUUGACCCCGGCAGUCUCCUAUGAGUCCCCGCCAUAACGCGCAGGCAACAUGGAACGAGGGUUGCGCUCGUUGCGGGACUUAACCCAACAUCUCACGACACGAGCUGACGACAGCCAUGCAGCACCUCUAUGGCGGCCCCCGAAGGGGAAGCCCUGUUUCCAGGACGGUCCACCACAGUUCAAGCCCAGGUAAGGUUCUUCGCGUUGCAUCGAAUUAAACCACAUGCUCCACCGCUUGUGCGGGCCCCCGUCAAUCCCUUUAUGUUUUAGUCUUGCGACCGUACUCCACAGGCGGGAUACUUAACGCGUUAGCUUCGCUACUGAAGGGGUCGAUACCUCCAACAGCUAGUAUCCAUCGUUUACGGCGUGGACUAC
rnacentral:misc_RNA from 1 species